GACGAACCGUGCGAACGUUGUUCGGAUUCACUGGGCUUAAAGGGCGCGUAGGCGGGCCGCCAAGUCAGGGGUGAAAUCCUCCGGCUCAACCGGAGAACGGCCCCUGAUACUGGCGGCCUCGAGGGGGGUAGGGGCAGGCGGAACUUCCGGUGGAGCGGUGAAAUGCGUAGAUAUCGGAAGGAACGCCGGUGGCGAAAGCGGCCUGCUGGACCCCAUCUGACGCUGAUGCGCGAAAGCCAGGGGAGCAAACGGG
rnacentral:rRNA from 1 species